UACGUAGGGUGCAAGCGUUGUCCGGAAUUAUUGGGCGUAAAGAGCUCGUAGGCGGUCUGUCGCGUCUGCUGUGAAAACUCGGGGCUUAACCCCGGGCCUGCAGUGGGUACGGGCAGACUAGAGUGCGGUAGGGGAGACUGGAAUUCCUGGUGUAGCGGUGAAAUGCGCAAGAUAUCAGGAGGAACACCGGUGGCGAAGGCGGGUCUCUGGGCCGUAACUGACGCUGAGGAGCGAAAGCGUGGGGAGCGAACAGG
rnacentral:rRNA from 1 species